AUGAUGAGUCGCUCUCUCCGUUCCAAGACUCUUCCUUUGCUCUUCCCCCGCAACCCCAAAGCCCUUUUCUCCACACACAUUGUUGGUGAAAAACCAGUUCUUGUUCGUGAUUUCAUUCAUUCUGCAUUAUAUGACCCCAGACAUGGUUAUUUCGCUCAAAGAUCGAGGUCGGUUGGUGUGCUUCAGAAAGCCAUCAAGUUCAAUCAGAUUUAGGGCAGGAAAGCUUAUAUGAAAUACUUGGAUAAAAUAUACAAGGGAAGUGAGAUAUCGUGGUUUACUCCUGUGGAAAUUUUUAAGCCUUGGUAUGCCCACGGGAUAGCUGAAGCCAUAAUGCGUACUGCUAACCUUUCAGUUCCUCUUAAGAUAUAUGAAAUUGGUGGUGGAUCAGGAACUUGUGCAAAGGGAAUCAUGGAUUACAUAUUGUUGAAUGCACCUACAAGAGUUUACAACAAUAUGACUUACACCUCAGUUGAAAUCAGUCCCUUACUGGCUGAGCUACAAAGAGAAACUGUUGGAGAAGUUCGUAGUCACUUAUCAAAGUUUCGAGUCGAAUGCCGUGAUGCUGCUGACAGGAAGGGAUGGGGGGACGUGCAGCAAGAGCCAUGCUGGGUAAUAAUGCUUGAGGUACUUGAUAAUCUUCCACAUGAUCUCAUCUAUUCUGAAAAUCAAGUUUCACCAUGGAAGGAAGUUUGGGUGGCGAACCAAGAUGGGGAAACACUAACUGAAUUGUACAAGCCAUUGCAAGACUCACUAAUUAAGAAAUGCAUUAAGAUCAUCGACUUUGAGAAAAAACAGGAUUCUCAAAGCAGUGCAUUAUUAAAAAGUGUUUGGUCUAAAGUCUACCCAAAACCUAGAAGAAGUUGGCUACCAACUGGUUGCUUGAAACUACUUGAAGUGUUACAUGGAGCACUACCAAAGAUGUCUUUGAUUGCUUCAGACUUUAGUUACCUUCCUGACGUGAAAAUACUUGGUGAAAGAGCUCCAUUGGUUUCAACCAAGAAAGAUGGCAGCAGCACAGACUAUGGUAGUUAUCUUGAUGCAAAGGUUGCAAGUGAAUCGAGGUUCACGGCUGAAGAUAUUGCAAGUUCGGUUCAACAGAUAUUCAGCUUUAUCCAUGCAAACACCGCCAGCGUCAUGUGA